AGCGAAUAUACAAUGCUAUAUUCACAGGAAUGGGAGAAAGGUCAGGAAGGACAGAAAAUGAGUCCUGGCUUAAAUAUGUCAUCUUAGAAUAUUAGUUUAUGUUUCCAAUGAGUUUAAAGCCUGGCAACUUGAACUAGAACUUUGAAAUGAUGAGCAUGGUAAGUAAAAUAAGAAUUGAAGAGAGUCAUGGCUUGAACUCUAAAUAAACAAAUAUCAAAGAGAAACAGGAGCCCAGUAGAGCUGAAGAUGGUGUGAUCAUCAGGAAGCGGUGGAGAGAAAAGCAACAUAAUAUGAUAUUAUAAAAAACAAGGUAAGGAAGCAUUUGAGAAAGGAGAAAGUGGUCAUCAGGAUUAAAAUUUAGAGACAGGAAAGGAAAAAAGUUUCAAUACCUGCGAGGUAGAAUGCAAAUGGUAACUAAUUGAAUAAUUGCUAAAAGUGGAGGAAACACAGGUAAAAUGGCCCACAAGUGAGGAAGCCUGAUGCUCAAGAGGAAGAAAAAAACUGUAUGAUAACAGUGAAUCAUACGGGUUCACAAAUAGAGGAAGUUUUGAAGUUGGAAAAGUUUUGACUUUCUAUAAGGACGAAUGAAAUCUGUAUUAGUUCAUUAGGGCAUCCAUAACAAAUUGCCAUAGGUUGAGUAGCUUAAACAACAGGAACUUAUUUUCUCUCAGUUCUAGAGGCUGCUGCUGCUGCUGCUAAGUCACUCCAGUCGUGCCUGACUCUACGGCAGCCCACCAGGCUCCCCCGUCCCUGGGAUUCUCCAGGCAAGAACACUGGAGUGGGUUGCCAUUUCCUUCUCUAAUGCAUGAAAGUGAAAAGUGAAAGUGAAGUUGCUCAGUUGUGCCUGAUUCUUCUUGACCCCAUGGACUGCAGCCUACCAGGCUCCUCCUUCCGUGGGAUUUUCCAGGCAAAAGAGUACUGGAGUGGGCUGCCAUUGCCUUCUCCAAUUCUAGAGGCUAGACGUCUUGAGAUUAAGAUGUCAGUAAGACUGGUUUCUUCUGAGUCUGCUCUGUUUUCUUGGCUUUGUAGGUGGCUGUCUUUCUCUGUCUUAUUUGUUCUUUCCUCUGUGUAUUUCCGUGACCUGAUUUCUUUUUCCUAUGACAGCACGAGGUAUAUUGGAUUAGGAUCCAUCCUAAUAACCCCGUUUAACUCAAUCAGCUAUUUAAAGACCCUAUUUCCAAAUGCAGUCGCAUUCUAAGGUACUGGGGGGUGAGACGUCAACGUAUGGGAUUUGUGGGGACACGACCCCACCCCCCAAACCUUCUGUUGGAGCUUUGUUUCCUGUAAAGGGGAAGGAGUCGAAGUCAGAGGAGAGAGAAGGGAACCAAGAGGGAGUGAAGUCCCCGUGGGAGAUAGGAUGGAAAAAGAUGCAGGUGAGGCUUGGCCAUAGAGGAGGGAUCUUUACGGUAACAGAAACUGAAAACCAGAGAGAUGCAGCUGCUCUUAGUGUACUCAGGUACUGGGGCUCGAUGGCUUUUAUCAUCGCAGGAAGAAAUAUGGUAGAGGAGUUGGGCUAAAAUUUUGAGGAAGAUUUGCUGGCUGGGAAAGAGGCUACAAAACAAUAGAGCAAGAUGUUGAGAAUAUUGACGAGAGACUGCAGUAAUGAACUGUGGGGCCUCUGCUAGCUGGGAAGGGACUAAAGACAGGAAGUCGUUAAUGGGAAGGUAGUGAAGCAAGUGUUGAGAACUUGAAGCUCUCAUGAUUUAGUGCUGAUUCACUUGAAAAAUAAAAUCUAUGGGAUUUUGCUUUCCCUAACUUUUAUUAUUAGCUAAAUCUAUCAGUGUUUUAUCAUCUCCAAACAUCAUUAAACUCUCUAUAUAAGAAAGCUGUUUGCUCUUUCAUAGAGGUUAAUACAAUCACCCAGUACCUCCUUUAUACCAGAUUUCUUUCUCAGCUACAUUUCCUUCAGCCUUCCAUGGAUGCAAGGAUCCUGCUGAGAUGAACUUAAGUGGAACCUGAACCUCAGAGUGGAGGAGGCCUGGCAUGGUGCGGUUCAUGGGGUCACAAAGAGUCGGACACCACUGAGUGACUGAACUGAACUGAACUGAACUGAAUAUGUCUUUAUUACAGAAAUGGAAAACCUUCCUUCCCCCGUUCUCCUCCUCCUUACCCUAUGCACAAAGUGUCACCAAAGAAGAAGUUUGUUUAGAGGGUGACUAUGGUUUCUCACCUAGCCUCCCAGCAGUUCUGUAUGACCAGGGUGGCUGUCUCUGACCGUGGAACUAAGAUCUGGCCAAUGGGAUAUACUGCCAUAUAAAAUGGAUAGCACAGAUGAAGGGAAUGGCGGUGCCACAGGAAGACAAGAACUCAGGUCUUUGGAUGAACUCAUGGAGCAGAACUCUGAACACCUUCCAUCCAGUUUAGAUUUCUUCAUAAAAGAGAAAAUAAAAUUAUUGGUUUAAAUCACUCUUAUUUUUGUUUUUGUUAAGGCAGCCAUACACUGUUUUAACUAAUAAACUACUUCAUAGAUUUGUUGAGAAGGUUGAAUGAAUGAAUGCCUCUGAAGGGCUUCGACUAGAGCCCGCCAUAUACUAAAGCCCGGAGCUUCCCAGAUGGCUCAGUGGUAAAGAAUCCGCCUACCAACGCAGGGGACGAAAGAAACGUGGGUUUGAUCCCUGGGUUGGGACGAUCCCCUGGAGUAGGAAAAGGCAACCCUCUCGAGUAUUCUUGCCUGGAAAAUUCCAUGGACAGGGGAACCUGCUGGGAUACUGUCCAUGGGGUCCCAAAGAGUCGGACACAACUAAGCCCGCAUGCAGAGUAUACUAAAAGUUCGAAGCGUAUAAGAUUUACCACUCUUAAUAUAUUUCCAAACUGAAAGAAAUUUUCUCCCUCCAUAAGCCUAUAGCCCAUUUUAGAUAUUUGUAUUACAUAGUGCCAUCAUCACUCAAUUUCAUGCCUUUAAUUGGGAUUCAUUUUGAAGAAUUUGUCGGAGAGCCUACACUGCUGCUUCUAGCAUCUCCACUAGUCUCACAGACGAUUAAAAAAAACAAACUCUUGCUCUAAGUUUUACCAAGAGACUGACUAUUUUCAACCACAAUCCCUUCACAAUUGUUUCUACAACCAUAAGGAAACCACGAUCACGUCAUCCCACGGCCCAGAUCCUGUGUGGUUUUGUCCGCUAAAUGCCAAACACAUUUAUGGGUCUUCCCACUUCCCCUGUUGAUAACUUCUCCCCGUUGGUUUCCUGGGAUGUCACAUACACUUAUUUUCCCUUAUUUCCUCAAUUAGCACCUCAAGAUACUGUGCAUUUUAAAAAUUUUCUUGGAUGUGAUUUUCCUGUCUCAUCACCUCGUUAAAUGUCACUCAGUUCAUAUUUCAGCUCACACACACCCUCUUCAGAGAGCUGCGGAUGGCCUUUCAGACUGUUAGACAUCUGUUAAUUCUCUCAGAGCAACUUGGUGGCACAUUCAUCG
ensembl:lncRNA